rnacentral:tRNA from 1 species
GCGUGGUUUCUCCUGGGAGAGGACCCUGCCUUCCAAGCAGUAGGAAACGGUUCGAAUCCGUUACCCCGCACCA